GCUGGCGGCGUGCUUAACACAUGCAAGUCGAACGGAAAGGCCCUGCUUUUGUGGGGUGCUCGAGUGGCGAACGGGUGAGUAACACGUGAGUAACCUGCCCUUGACUUUGGGAUAACUUCAGGAAACUGGGGCUAAUACCGGAUAGGAGCUCCUGCUGCAUGGUGGGGGUUGGAAAGUUUCGGCGGUUGGGGAUGGACUCGCGGCUUAUCAGCUUGUUGGUGGGGUAGUGGCUUACCAAGGCUUUGACGGGUAGCCGGCCUGAGAGGGUGACCGGCCACAUUGGGACUGAGAUACGGCCCAGACUCCUACGGGAGGCAGCAGUGGGGAAUAUUGCACAAUGGGCGGAAGCCUGAUGCAGCAACGCCGCGUGCGGGAUGACGGCCUUCGGGUUGUAAACCGCUUUCGCCUGUGACGAAGCGUGAGUGACGGUAAUGGGUAAAGAAGCACCGGCUAACUACGUGCCAGCAGCCGCGGUGAUACGUAGGGUGCGAGCGUUGUCCGGAUUUAUUGGGCGUAAAGGGCUCGUAGGUGGUUGAUCGCGUCGGAAGUGUAAUCUUGGGGCUUAACCCUGAGCGUGCUUUCGAUACGGGUUGACUUGAGGAAGGUAGGGGAGAAUGGAAUUCCUGGUGGAGCGGUGGAAUGCGCAGAUAUCAGGAGGAACACCAGUGGCGAAGGCGGUUCUCUGGGCCUUUCCUGACGCUGAGGAGCGAAAGCGUGGGGAGCGAACAGGCUUAGAUACCCUGGUAGUCCACGCUGUAAACGGUGGGUACUAGGUGUGGGGUCCAUUCCACGGGUUCCGUGCCGUAGCUAACGCUUUAAGUACCCCGCCUGGGGAGUACGGCCGCAAGGCUAAAACUCAAAGGAGUUGACGGGGCCCCGCACAAGCGGCGGAGCAUGCGGAUUAAUUCGAUGCAACGCGUAGAACCUUACCUGGGUUUGACAUGGAUCGGGAGUGCUCAGAGAUGGGUGUGCCUCUUUUGGGGUCGGUUCACAGGUGGUGCAUGGCUGUCGUCAGCUCGUGUCGUGAGAUGUUGGGUUAAGUCCCGCAACGAGCGCAACCCUUGUUCACUGUCGCCAGCACGUUAUGGUGGGGACUCAGUGGAGACCGCCGGGGUCAACUCGGAGGAAGGUGGGGAUGACGUCAAGUCAUCAUGCCCCUUAUGUCCAGGGCUUCACGCAUGCUACAAUGGCUGGUACAGAGAGUGGCGAGCCUGUGAGGGUGAGCGAAUCUCGGAAAGCCGGUCUCAGUUCGGAUUGGGGUCUGCAACUCGACCUCAUGAAGUCGGAGUCGCUAGUAAUCGCAGAUCAGCAACGCUGCGGUGAAUACGUUCCCGGGGCUUGUACACACCGCCCGUCAAGUCAUGAAAGUUGGUAACACCCGAAGCCGGUGGCCUAACCGUUGUGGGGGAGCCGUCGAAGGUGGGACUGGUGAUU
rnacentral:rRNA from 1 species